GGGAAGCACAGCGCCCGCGUGCUGGAGGCGAGUGGGCUCUGUGUUGGGGAGGCUGGGGUCCCAAACCAGGGCAGGGGAAUGGUGGUCCUGCGUGGCUCGUGGACCUCUCUCAGGGAUUCCUCUCAGCAGCGGCUGGAAGAGCAAACCCACACCCAGUGGUCAUUGUAGGAACUUCACUUGAGCUGGUCUGCUUGUGAGCCUGUGGUUUGGAGAGGAGAAGACGCACUUCCCCAUGAGAAAAAGGUGGUCAUCCCCGUGGGCUCCACAGUUGAGGACACCGGCUCUCAGCUCCGCCCCCUCUCAGAAGCCUUCCUCACCUGGGGGUUCUGGGUGAAGGGAGCUCCCCAUCGGAGACUCACGUGGGAUUGUGUGUGGACCAUAGAGCCACAGAGCGUCACCUGGGAGCUGGGCGAAAUGUGCAACCUGUAGUCCCUCCCUCCUCAGACCUAUGAUUCACGAUCUGCGUUUUAGGAAGACACAUGAACUUAUUAGAUCCAGGCUUUAACUUCAGUUUCCUGUGUGACCUUUGAGAAGCCAUCUCUCCAAGUGCUUCCUUUGAAAGGGAAAAUCGAUGGGCACAAGCUGGGAUCAACUACAAGGAAAUUUGAGCAGCAGGAGAAGCUCAUUCUUCCAAGGUGCUUGGUGUUGCUAUUGCCCUAGUUUCUCAGAGAAGUAAACCCAGGCUCAGAGUAGUCUGGGGGUUUGUUGGAGGCCACAGAACCGGUUAGAAGAGGCAUGGAUUAGGAUGCAGGU